GUCAGAGAGAGAGACAGACAGGUCAGAGACAGACAGGUCAGAGAGAGAGACAGACAGGUCAGAGAGACAGACAGGUCAGAGACAGACAGGUCAGAGAGAGAGACAGACAGGUCAGAGACAGACAGACAGGUGUACUGACGGCAGUGCGACAGGUGAACAGUGUCGGGGGGGCAGGAUGAGAGCCGGUGGACUGAAGGUAGAGCUGCCAAUCAAAC